AACGAACGCUGGCGGCAUGCCUAACACAUGCAAGUCGAACGAGACCUUCGGGUCUAGUGGCGCACGGGUGCGUAACGCGUGGGAAUCUGCCCUUGGGUUCGGAAUAACAGUUAGAAAUGACUGCUAAUACCGGAUGAUGACUUCGGUCCAAAGAUUUAUCGCCCAAGGAUGAGCCCGCGUAGGAUUAGCUAGUUGGUAGGGUAAAGGCCUACCAAGGCGACGAUCCUUAGCUGGUCUGAGAGGAUGAUCAGCCACACUGGGACUGAGACACGGCCCAGAUUCCUACGGGAGGCAGCAGUGGGGAAUAUUGGACAAUGGGCGAAAGCCUGAUCCAGCAAUGCCGCGUGAGUGAUGAAGGCCCUAAGGUUGUAAAGCUCUUUUACCCGGGAUGAUAAUGACAGUACCGGGAGAAUAAGCCCCGGCUAACUCCGUGCCAGCAGCCGCCGCAGUAA
rnacentral:rRNA from 1 species